rnacentral:rRNA from 2 species
UUGCUCCCAAGAUUAGCGGCGGACGGGUGAGAAACACGUGGGCAACCUGCCUGUAAGACUGGGAUAACUUCGGGAAACCGGAGCUAAUACCGGAUAAUCCCUUUCCUCACAUGAGGAAAGGCUGAAAGACGGCGUCUAGCUGUCACUUACAAAUGGGCCCCCGGCGCAUUAGCUAGUUGGGGAGGUAACGGCUCACCAAGGCCACGAUGCGUAGCCAACCUGAAAGGGUGAUCGGCCACACUGGGACUGAAACACGGCCCAAACUCCUACGGGAGGCAGCAGUAGGGAAUCUUCCGCAAUGGACAAAAGUCUGACGGAGCAACGCCGCGGGAGUGAUGAAGGUUUUCGGAUCGUAAAACUCUGUUGUUAGGGAAGAACAAGUAUCGAAGUAACUGCCGGUACCUUGACGGUACCUAACCAAAAAGCCACGGCUAACUACGUGCCAGCAGCCGCGGUAAUACGUAGGUGGCAAGCGUUGUCCGGAAUUAUUGGGCGUAAAGCGCGCGCAGGUGGUUCCUUAAGUCUGAUGUGAAAGCCCACGGCUCAACCGUGGAGGGUCAUUGGAAACUGGGGAACUUGAGUGCGAAGAGGAAAAGUGGAAUUCCAAGUGUAGCGGUGAAAUGCGUAGAGAUUUGGAGGAACACCAGUGGCGAAGGCGACUUUCUGGUCUGGUAACUGACACUGAGGCGCGAAAGCGUGGGAGCGAACAGGAUUAGAUACCCUGUAGUCCACGCGUAAACGAUGAGUGCUGAGUGUAGAGGUUUCUGCCCUUUAGUGCUGCAGCAAAUCGCAUUAUGCACUCGCUGUGAGUAACGACGCACGAUGCAAACCUCAUAGGAAAUUGA